GAGUUCAGAACCCAAUGCUUCCCACUCACCGGGUUGAGACCUCCCUUAAUAGCCCAUACCUGUUUUGAAAUCUGAACUGAACAGAGAUGCUAAAAGCAUUUUAUGGCACCAUACCCUUCACACUUCUCCCCCUGCUUGUUCUCCAGCAGGCAGAAGAAAAUCUGCUGCAGUUCCCAUCUUUGCUAGGAAGCCUGAUCAGACUCUGGGACACAAGUUUGAAUGCAAGAGCAGCAAAGAAGGAAAAUCUAGAAUCCAACAGCCUCAUCCUUCACACAUUUACAGUUUUAGAUCAGGCAGUAUGAAAUACCUUUUUCUGGAACCCCGGCUGGCAACUGGCUUGGGCUUUAAAGCCAUCCUCAAGGAAUGUGCGCUCCACAGUGAAUACAGUACACUGUCACAGAAACUUAAGUGUGAUCUACAAUGAAGAAACAAAUGCCUUCAGCUGCAGAAAGUUAAAUGCUGCCAUUGAGCUGGCUGGGACCAGCAUGUGGAAGGAGUGGGCAUGAAGAUCAGUAAGGUCUGGUAGAUACCCUUUGACAUUAAUACCACCUCAGUGAUUUGGCAUCCCCCUUGAUUCAGUUUUCCAUACCUUUAUUUGUCCUAUAGGCUGAUACAAAAUCAUAUUUCAUAAGGCAGAAUAAAACUGCAGCUAUGCUAGCACAGUGAGGUGAAACCACUUAGAGAAAAACAAGAACCACCCUAAACAAGGAUUCCUCAAAGUAACAGACACAAACUGCCAAGGCCUGCACUGUUGAGGUCCUGGACUCAUGGAUCACCUGCACUUCUGGGGACAAUUCUGCAUUUCUACCUGCUCUCCUCCCUACAAACCAAGUGCAUGGCAGCAGCACAGAUCCUAGCUAAAGGGACAGCUGGCUAACCUGGAGUCACUGAACUUGUUGAGUAAAUGUCAGUAAAACUUCACAGCAGAGCUUGGUAACCCUGCUCUAGGGGACUGUCUACACUGAAAACACACUGCUUUAGAUCAAUCACAUAACUGGCUAUGUACUAAACUGCUACAGAAUCUGAAUAGAGACCUUUUUACAUCUGGCCCUGUUGGCUCUGCUGGUGGCUUUAGCUCCGCAU